rnacentral:rRNA from 1 species
AGCGAACGCUGGCGGCAGGCCUAACACAUGCAAGUCGAACGAAGUCUUCGGACUUAGUGGCGGACGGGUGAGUAACACGUGGGAACGUACCUUUUGGUUCGGAACAACUCAGGGAAACUUGAGCUAAUACCGGAUGAGCCCUUAGGGGGAAAGAUUUAUCGCCGAAAGAGCGGCCCGCGUUAGAUUAGCUAGUUGGUGAGGUAAAGGCUCACCAAGGCUACGAUCUAUAGCUGGUCUGAGAGGAUGAUCAGCCACACUGGGACUGAGACACGGCCCAGACUCCUACGGGAGGCAGCAGUGGGGAAUCUUGCGCAAUGGGCGAAAGCCUGACGCAGCCAUGCCGCGUGAAUGAUGAGGGUCUUAGGAUUGUAAAAUUCUUUUACCAGGGACGAUAAUGACGGUACCUGGAGAAAAAGCCCCGGCUAACUUCGUGCCAGCCGCCGCAGUAAGAC